rnacentral:rRNA from 2 species
GAUGAAGGACGUGCUAAUCUGCGAUAAGCGUCGGUGAGGUGAUAUGAACCGUUAUAACCGGCGAUUUCCGAAUGGGGAAACCCAGUGUGUUUCGACACACUAUCAUUAACUGAAUCCAUAGGUUAAUGAGGCGAACCGGGGGAACUGAAACAUCUAAGUACCCCGAGGAAAAGAAAUCAACCGAGAUUCCCCCAGUAGCGGCGAGCGAACGGGGAGGAGCCCAGAGCCUGAAUCAGUGUGUGUGUUAGUGGAAGCGUCUGGAAAGGCGCGCGAUACAGGGUGACAGCCCCGUACACAAAAAUACACAUAUUGUGAGCUCGAUGAGUAGGGCGGGACACGUGGUAUCCUGUCUGAAUAUGGGGGGACCAUCCUCCAAGGCUAAAUACUCCUGACUGACCGAUAGUGAACCAGUACCGUGAGGGAAAGGCGAAAAGAACCCCGGCGAGGGGAGUGAAAAAGAACCUGAAACCGUGUACGUACAAGCAGUGGGAGCCUCUUUAUGGGGUGACUGCGUACCUUUUGUAUAAUGGGUCAGCGACUUAUAUUCUGUAGCAAGGUUAACCGAAUAGGGGAGCCGAAGGGAAACCGAGUCUUAACUGGGCGUUAAGUUGCAGGGUAUAGACCCGAAACCCGGUGAUCUAGCCAUGGGCAGGUUGAAGGUUGGGUAACACUAACUGGAGGACCGAACCGACUAAUGUUGAAAAAUUAGCGGAUGACUUGUGGCUGGGGGUGAAAGGCCAAUCAAACCGGGAGAUAGCUGGUUCUCCCCGAAAGCUAUUUAGGUAGCGCCUCGUGAAUUCAUCUCCGGGGGUAGAGCACUGUUUCGGCAAGGGGGUCAUCCCGACUUACCAACCCGAUGCAAACUGCGAAUACCGGAGAAUGUUAUCACGGGAGACACACGGCGGGUGCUAACGUCCGUCGUGAAGAGGGAAACAACCCAGACCGCCAGCUAAGGUCCCAAAGUCAUGGUUAAGUGGGAAACGAUGUGGGAAGGCCCAGACAGCCAGGAUGUUGGCUUAGAAGCAGCCAUCAUUUAAAGAAAGCGUAAUAGCUCACUGGUCGAGUCGGCCUGCGCGGAAGAUGUAACGGGGCUAAACCAUGCACCGAAGCUGCGGCAGCGACACUAUGUGUUGUUGGGUAGGGGAGCGUUCUGUAAGCCUGUGAAGGUGGCCUGUGAGGGUUGCUGGAGGUAUCAGAAGUGCGAAUGCUGACAUAAGUAACGAUAAAGCGGGUGAAAAGCCCGCUCGCCGGAAGACCAAGGGUUCCUGUCCAACGUUAAUCGGGGCAGGGUGAGUCGACCCCUAAGGCGAGGCCGAAAGGCGUAGUCGAUGGGAAACAGGUUAAUAUUCCUGUACUUGGUGUUACUGCGAAGGGGGGACGGAGAAGGCUAUGUUGGCCGGGCGACGGUUGUCCCGGUUUAAGCGUGUAGGCUGGUUUUCCAGGCAAAUCCGGAAAACCAAGGCUGAGGCGUGAUGACGAGGCACUACGGUGCUGAAGCGACAAAUGCCCUGCUUCCAGGAAAAGCCUCUAAGCAUCAGGUAACAUCAAAUCGUACCCCAAACCGACACAGGUGGUCAGGUAGAGAAUACCAAGGCGCUUGAGAGAACUCGGGUGAAGGAACUAGGCAAAAUGGUGCCGUAACUUCGGGAGAAGGCACGCUGAUAUGUAGGUGAAGCGACUUGCUCGUGGAGCUGAAAUCAGUCGAAGAUACCAGCUGGCUGCAACUGUUUAUUAAAAACACAGCACUGUGCAAACACGAAAGUGGACGUAUACGGUGUGACGCCUGCCCGGUGCCGGAAGGUUAAUUGAUGGGGUUAGCGGUAACGCGAAGCUCUUGAUCGAAGCCCCGGUAAACGGCGGCCGUAACUAUAACGGUCCUAAGGUAGCGAAAUUCCUUGUCGGGUAAGUUCCGACCUGCACGAAUGGCGUAAUGAUGGCCAGGCUGUCUCCACCCGAGACUCAGUGAAAUUGAACUCGCUGUGAAGAUGCAGUGUACCCGCGGCAAGACGGAAAGACCCCGUGAACCUUUACUAUAGCUUGACACUGAACAUUGAGCCUUGAUGUGUAGGAUAGGUGGGAGGCUUUGAAGUGUGGACGCCAGUCUGCAUGGAGCCGACCUUGAAAUACCACCCUUUAAUGUUUGAUGUUCUAACGUUGGCCCGUAAUCCGGGUUGCGGACAGUGUCUGGUGGGUAGUUUGACUGGGGCGGUCUCCUCCUAAAGAGUAACGGAGGAGCACGAAGGUUGGCUAAUCCUGGUCGGACAUCAGGAGGUUAGUGCAAUGGCAUAAGCCAGCUUGACUGCGAGCGUGACGGCGCGAGCAGGUGCGAAAGCAGGUCAUAGUGAUCCGGUGGUUCUGAAUGGAAGGGCCAUCGCUCAACGGAUAAAAGGUACUCCGGGGAUAACAGGCUGAUACCGCCCAAGAGUUCAUAUCGACGGCGGUGUUUGGCACCUCGAUGUCGGCUCAUCACAUCCUGGGGCUGAAGUAGGUCCCAAGGGUAUGGCUGUUCGCCAUUUAAAGUGGUACGCGAGCUGGGUUUAGAACGUCGUGAGACAGUUCGGUCCCUAUCUGCCGUGGGCGCUGGAGAACUGAGGGGGGCUGCUCCUAGUACGAGAGGACCGGAGUGGACGCAUCACUGGUGUUCGGGUUGUCAUGCCAAUGGCACUGCCCGGUAGCUAAAUGCGGAAGAGAUAAGUGCUGAAAGCAUCUAAGCACGAAACUUGCCCCGAGAUGAGUUCUCCCUGAGACUUAGAGACUCCUGAAGGAACGUUGAAGACGACGACGUUGAUAGGCCGGGUGUGUAAGCGCAGCGAUGCGUUGAGCUAACCGGUACUAAUGAACCGUGAGGCUUAACCUU